GAGCAAGUGUGGUGCAGUGGUUUGGGUGUUGGACUAGAACUCUGAGUAGACCAGGGUUCAAAUCCCUGCUUGACCA